GCCUCAGUAACGGGCGAGUGAAGCGGCAAAAGCUCAAAUUUGAAACCCUCGGGAUUGUAAUUUGAAGAUUUGGCAUUGGAGAAAGCUAACCCAAGUUGCUUGGAAUAGUACGUCAUAGAGGGUGACAACCCCGUCUGGCUAACCGUUCUCCAUGUAUUGCCUUAUCAAAGAGUCGAGUUGUUUGGGAAUGCAGCUCAAAGUGGGUGGUAAACUCCAUCUAAAGCUAAAUACUGGUGAGAGACCGAUAGCGAACAAGUACUGUGAAGGAAAGGUGAAAAGAACUUUGAAAAGAGAGUGAAAUAGUAUGUGAAAUUGUUGAUAGGGAAGGAAAUGAGUGGAGAGUGGCCGAGGUUUCAGCCGCCCCUCGUGGGCGGUGUACUGCCGACGCCGAGUCAUCGAUAGCGAGACGAGGGUUACAAAUGGGAGCGCCUUUCGGGCGUUCUCCCCUAACCCUCCACACUGCCACCGACGACAUAAUCCACCCAUUUCACC
rnacentral:rRNA from 1 species